GUGCUUGCUUCAGCAGCACCUAUACUAAAAUUGGAACAAUACAGAGAAGUUUAGCACAGCCCCUGUGCAAGGAUGACACGCACAUUCGUAAAACGUUUCAUAUAUUU
ensembl:snRNA U6 U6 spliceosomal RNA